AUGGACAUGGGCAUCAACGGCUGGAUCAGCUCCCCUUCCUCAUCGACGUCCGGGCACGAGCUCGGGGAGGCGGUGCCUGUGUGGUCGCAGGCGGCGAAGCGGCCCGCAGGGCGCACCAAGUUCAAGGAGACGCGCCACCCGGUGUACCGUGGCGUGCGGCGCCGGGGCAGCGCGGGGCGGUGGGUGUGCGAGGUGCGCGUUCCCGGCAAGCGCGGCGAGCGGCUCUGGCUCGGGACGUACGUCGCCGCCGAGUCCGCCGCGCGCGCUCACGACGCCGCGAUGCUCACCCUGCUCGGACGCUCCCCCUCCGCCGCGGCGUGCCUCAACUUCCCAGACUCCGCGUGGCUGCUCGUCAUGCCCCCGAGGCUCUCCGACCUGGCCGACGUCCGGCGCGCGGCCAUCCAGGCCGUCGUGGGCUUCCUGCGCCUGGAGGCCGCCACCGUGGUCCCGGACGUCGACGAGGCCACCUCCCCCGUGUACCUGCCGUCGCCCGUGGACAAUGCCGACCAAGUGUUCCAGGUGCCAACUUUCUCCCCGCUGGGCAGCGACAUGUUCGAGCUCGACAUGUCUGGGGAAAUGGACCUGGACGCGUACUACGCGGGCUUUGCCCAGGGGAUGCUCCUGGAGCCGCCGCCCACGCCGUCGUACUGGGAGAACGGAGAAUGCGGCGACGGCGGAGCGGCCGCCGGCCUCUGGAGCUACUGA
rnacentral:rRNA from 1 species